ACCUUGAGUGGUUAAGGCUCCCAGUAGACGACUGGGUUGAUAGGCCAGAUGUGGAAGCCCGGUAACGGGUGGAGCUGACUGGUACUAAUAGGCCGAGGGCUUGUCCUC
rnacentral:rRNA from 1 species